GAGUUUGAUCUUGGCUCAGAUUGAACGCUGGCGGCAUGCCUUACACAUGCAAGUCGAACGGCAGCACGGGAGCUUGCUCCUGGUGGCGAGUGGCGAACGGGUGAGUAAUGCAUCGGAACGUAUCCUGGAGUGGGGGAUAACGGUAGCGAAAGUUACGCUAAUACCGCAUAUUCUGUGAGCAGGAAAGCGGGGGAACCUUCGGGCCUCGCGCUCUUGGAGCGGCCGAUGUCGGAUUAGCUAGUUGGUGAGGUAAAGGCUCACCAAGGCGACGAUCCGUAGCAGGUCUGAGAGGAUGAGUCUGCCACACUGGAACUGAGACACGGUCCAGACUCCUACGGGAGGCAGCAGUGGGAAUUUGGACAAUGGGGCACCCUGAUCCAGCCAUGCCGCGUGAGUGAAGAAGGCCU
rnacentral:rRNA from 1 species